rnacentral:rRNA from 1 species
AUUGAACUCUGGCGGCAGGCUUAACACAUGCAAGUCGAGCGGAGAGAGGUAGCUUGCUACUGAUCUUAGCGGCGGACGGGUGAGUAAUGCUUAGGAAUCUGCCUAUUAGUGGGGGACAGCAUUUCGAAAGGAAUGCUAAUACCGCAUACGUCCUACGGGAGAAAGCAGGGGAUCUUCGGACCUUGCGCUAAUAGAUGAGCCUAAGUCGGAUUAGCUAGAUGGUGGGGUAAAGGCCUACCAAGGCGACGAUCUGUAGCGGGUCUGAGAGGAUGAUCCGCCACACUGGGACUGAGACACGGCCCAGACUCCUACGGGAGGCAGCAGUGGGGAAUAUUGGACAAUGGGCGGAAGCCUGAUCCAGCCAUGCCGCGUGUGUGAAGAAGGCCUUAUGGUUGUAAAGCACUUUAAGCGAGGAGGAGGCUACUUUAGUUAAUACCUAGAGAUAGUGGACGUUACUCGCAGAAUAAGCACCGGCUAACUCUGUGCCAGCCGCCGCGGUAAUAC